UACGGGGGGGGGCAAGCGUUGUUCGGAAUUACUGGGCGUAAAGGGCUCGUAGGCGGCCAACUAAGUCAGACGUGAAAUCCCUCGGCUUAACCGGGGAACUGCGUCUGAUACUGGAUGGCUCGAGUUUGGGAGAGGGAUGCGGAAUUCCAGGUGUAGCGGUGAAAUGCGUAGAUAUCUGGAGGAACACCGGUGGCGAAGGCGGCAUCCUGGACCAACACUGACGCUGAGGAGCGAAAGCCAGGGGAGCAAACGGG
rnacentral:rRNA from 1 species